rnacentral:rRNA from 1 species
GACAGAGGCCUCGAGCGUUAGGCGGAAUCAUUGGGCGUAAAGCGCGCGUAGGCGGCCCUGUAAGUCCGUUGUGAAAGUCAAAGGCUCAACCUUUGAAAGCCGAUGGAUACUGCAGGGCUAGAGUCCGGAAGAGGCGAGUGGAAUUCCUGGUGUAGCGGUGGAAUGCGCAGAUAUCAGGAGGAACACCAAUAGCGAAGGCAGCUCGCUGGGACGGUACUGACGCUAAGGCGCGAAAGCGUGGGGAGCGAACAGG